AGAGUCGGCCAGGUGGUCGCGGCACCCGGGCUAUCCGGUGUCGAGGAAAGUCCGGACUCCACAGGGCAGGGUGGUCGGUAACACCGACCCGGGGCGACCCGCGGGAAAGUGCCACAGAAAACAGACCGCCACCGCGUGCGGUGGUAAGGGUGAAACGGUGGUGUAAGAGACCACCAGCGGCCGGAGUGAUCCGGUCGGCUUGGUAAACCCCACCCGGAGCAAGGUCAAGAAGGAAGGCUUCGGCCUUUCACGCGGACGGUUGAGGGCGGCCCGCCUGAGGUCCGCGGGUAGACCGCACCGAGGUUGCCGGCAACGGCAGCCCCAGAUGGAUGGCCGCCCGGUUCCACGGAACCCGACAGGAUCCGGCUUAUCGGCCGGCUCUCUCC
rnacentral:RNase_P_RNA from 1 species